rnacentral:lncRNA from 1 species
CACGCACGCAGGAGAGCACGGCACAGCCUGCUAGGUGGGCCCAACAUGGGCGUGCAUGCAGGUUGGCCCAGUGCGCAUGCGGGCGCCCAAGCCUAGUGCCUUAUGCAAUCCAUCGUGGAUCGCAGGGUGCUGGGUGGUCCAUAGAGGCUGCGUGGACAGAUCAUGCGGUCCAUAUGCGGUUCACGGAUGAUUUUGCAUGAUCCGAUGGCUUUGGAGCGAGCCAUUUA